rnacentral:rRNA from 1 species
AUUGAACGCUGGCGGCAUGCUUUACACAUGCAAGUCGAGCGGCAGCGCGGGGGCAACCCUGGCGGCGAGCGGCGAACGGGUGAGUAAUGCAUCGGAACGUAUCCUCGAGUGGGGGAUAACCCAGCGAAAGUUGGGCUAAUACCGCAUGAGCUCUGAGGAGGAAAGCGGGGGACCUGCGAGGGCCUCGCGCUGGAGGAGCGGCCGAUGUCCGAUUAGUUAGUGGGUGGGGGAAAGGCUUACCAAGGCGACGAUCGGUAGCUGGUCUGAGAGGAUGAUCGGCCACACUGGGACUGAGACACGGCCCAGACUCAUACGGGCGGCAGCAGUGGGGAAUUUUGGACAAUGGGGGCAACCCUGAUCCAGCCAUGCCGCGUGAGUGAAGAAGGCCUUCGGGUUGUAAAGCUCUUUCGGACGGAACGAAAUGGGCGGGACUAAUACUCCUGUCUGAUGACGGUACCGUAAGAAGAAGCACCGGCUAACUACGUG